CCUACGGGAGGCAGCAGUGAGGAAUAUUGGUCAAGGGACGAGAGUCUGAACCAGCCAAGUAGCGUGAAGGAGGACUGCCCUAUGGGUUGUAAACUUCUUUUAUAAAGGAAUAAAACGAGGCACGUGUGCCUUUUUGCAUGUACUUUAUGAAUAAGGAUCGGCUAACUCCGUGCCAGCAGCCGCGGUAAUACGGAGGAUCCGAGCGUUAUCCGGAUUUAUUGGGUUUAAAGGGAGCGUAGAUGGGUUGUUAAGUCAGUUGUGAACGUUUGCGGCUCAACCGUAAAAUUGCAAUUGAUACUGGCAGUCUUGAGUACAGUUGAGGUAGGCGGAAUUCGUGUUGUAGCGGUG
rnacentral:rRNA from 1 species